rnacentral:rRNA from 1 species
GAUGAACGCUGACAGAAUGCUUAACACAUGCAAGUCAACUUGAACUUCGGUUUGGGUGGCGGACGGGCGAGUAACGCGUAAAGAACUUGCCUCACAGAUAGGGACAACAUUUGGAAACGAAUGCUAAUACCUGAUAUUAUGAUUUUAGGGCAUCCUAGGAUUAUGAAAGCUAUAUGCGCUGUGAGAGAGCUUUGCGUCCCAUUAGCUAGUUGGAGAGGUAACGGCUCACCAAGGCGAUGAUGGGUAGCCGGCCUGAGAGGGUGAUCGGCCACAAGGGGACUGAGACACGGCCCUUACUCCUACGGGAGGCAGCAGUGGGGAAUAUUGGACAAUGGACCAAGAGUCUGAUCCAGCAAUUCUGUGUGCACGAUGAAGUUUUUCGGAAUGUAAAGUGCUUUCAGUUGGGAAGAAAAAAAUGACGGUACCAACAGAAGAAGUGACGGCUAAAUACGUGCCAGCAGCCGCGGUAAUACGUAUGUCACAAGCGUUAUCCGGAUUUAUUGGGCGUAAAGCGCGUCUAGGUGGUUAUAUAAGUCUGAUGUGAAAAUGCAGGGCUCAACUCUGUAUUGCGUUGGAAACUGUGUAACUAGAGUACUGGAGAGGUAAGCGGAACUACAAGUGUAGAGGUGAAAUUCGUAGAUAUUUGUAGGAAUGCCGAUGGGGAAGCCAGCUUACUGGACAGAUACUGACGCUGAAGCGCGAAAGCGUGGGUAGCAAACAGG